GCCUGCCCAGGAGAUGAACUACUUUUCACACACAUUUUGAGCCAAGCCGAAGCCAGAAGCCACGCAAGGCUGGUGGAAAAGUACCGCGUCACCCCGGCGAGAAGUAAACUUCAGCCGCGCUUCACGGAGUUGAAGCCCGGCUCCGAUGGAGCCGGCAUCGGCCAGCCCACAGCCGCGCACCUUUACACCGUUACGAACGCGCGCCGACCCUCACCUCGCACAGCUGCGAGCGGGCAGUCCCAAGCCCUCGGUCCUACGGGGCGGGCACUCGCAGCGCUCUUCAAGCACUCGGUUUCGGCCGUAAGCCGGGCGCGCCGCCUGCAUACGUACCUCCGCGAGAAACCCGGACGGCGGGCGCUCUCCCUGCUGCCGAGGGCCUCGCCGGCACAACGCACCGAGCGCGUGUCUCCGCUGAGCCGCGCGCAGGCGGCAGCGCAGGACCCGGGUCCGCGCGGAGCUCCCCGCCGCGGCGCGCCGCGCUCCUCCACCUGCGCCGCUCCCAACUCAGCGGAGCGGCGCCGCGGGCGCUUCCCCCUCCGGAGGCGGCCGCGAACCUCGGGGCUCCGCCGGCGGCCGGACACUCCCACAGCGGGCAGCGGCGGCGGGAAAGUUCGCCGCCCCUCCGCCUUCCCUUUCGGCUUCUCCUCCCCGGCCGAGCGGCCCGGCGCCGAGGGCGUCAGGGAGGCGGCACUCGGCAGAGCGGCCCCGCCGCCGCCUCAGCGCCGCCGCGGUCGGAGGCGGCUUCGAGGCGGCGCGCGGCGGCCGUUGCCGCGGCCGUUACCGUCGGCCUCAUGCUCGCCGUUCGCCCCCGACAUCACUCGGGCUCCCGCCCCAUCGCCGAGCGGUGACUCACCGCGCCGCGGGCCGGAAAAACCGGCGCGGCCGCCGCCCGGCCCCCGCGCUAACGGUGGUGGCGGCGGCGCCGCCUCUGCGCGCGCGCGGUCCCCCCGCCGCCGCGCCGGGAGGGACGGGCGGGCCCAGCGGCGGCCGCGGGGAGCGCGGCGCCCCCCGCGCCUCUCGGGGAGCGGCUCUGCCGGAACUCUGGCACCCGACCCGCCGAAGGCCGAGCGAUGCGGGCAGCCCCCGCUGGCCUUAAAAAUAAAUAAAUAA
rnacentral:lncRNA from 1 species